rnacentral:lncRNA from 1 species
AUUAAGAAAAGAAAAGCUGGAGCUUAAAGGAGCUAAGUACCCUACCAAGAUGGCAUGCACAAACUACCGACUGCCAGGGUUUGGGUAUGAGAGCAGACAUGCCAGACUCCAAGUCUUAACUACUAUACUCUACAACCUCCCAUUGCAUACCUUUCUUCCAACUCUCUAGGUCCCAGACCUAACUUUGGUAAACAUUUAGCAGUUAACCGUUCUGAUACAUUUGACAUCAUCACCAAGCACCCAAAGCCAGGGACUCCCACUCGGCCUUGGUUAGACCGCAACCCAGAGCUCCAAUUUGGGUUUUGAAGGCCAUGGCUUCAAAUGUAGACCUGAAGGCAGCUAGGAGGUAAGCAUGUUCUGCAAUCUGCAUCUUACCUUGUCUUGUUUUGUUUUGUUUUGUUUUGUUUUGUUUUGUUUUUUAGCCACAACAUUUUAUGCAAUUGCUCAUUGGCCCAGAAGCUACUGGAGUGCUCAGAGGCGGAGAAUCACCCAUAGACGACUGUUGGGCAAAACUGUCUCUGUUUUAGGUUGGCGUGGAUCACCGUGGCUUCAGCUCAACUAGGGCAGAGGAGCAUUUAAAAUACCCAGCAGGGUGGGGCGAGGUAGCAAAACGUUUAUAGCCCAUACCCAUUAAGGCAGUCCCUGAAAAGGGAGCUUACAAAAUGCCUUGUUGGGCAUGGUCCUCCCUUCUUUCUCCAAAACCCCAACCAAGAAGAGGCUGGAAAAAUUAAGAGAAUCUUGUGCAGGAGAAGCCCCUCUUUGCCCACUUUGCUACUUUCCUAUGUUGGACACUGUCUCUGAGAACGUGAUGCCUGGCAAUGAAGCAGCCAUCUUGGGACCAAGAGACAGAUUUGAAGACCUAAAGUCCUUAAAGUGUAUGCCAAGGAUGUUAGAAGGACUAGAAGGAUGGAAAGAGUCUGGAGACUUAAGAAAAUAACCGGAGAGCUAAACCAAUCACGGGACCACUUGCUUCCAAAUUCCUUAUUAGGGCAACCAUAACUGCCCUUACUCUUGGUCCGCAUUAGACUGGGUUUCUGUUACUUGCAGCUGAAAGCAUUCUAAUUGAUCCAUGUCACUCUCAUUAAAAUUAGGAGUAGCCGUGUCUCCCUUCUUCUUCUAGGAGGGAGAAUUACGGUAAAAUGGAAAGCUUUGGAGCCAAAGGCACCCCAUCAGUCAGAAUUCUGGCUGAGAAACCCUGAGCAAGUUUCUUAACUGCAGAGUGUCAGUAUUAUUAACUGGAAAACAUAGAUAACAAUAAGACCUCAUAAGCUCAUUAUUAUAAAAAAUACAAUAAACACAAACAAAAGAUGGUGAAAAUUUCACAUAUCAGAGCCUAGCAUGCAGGAGGUGCUCAAUAAAUGUCAACUGCCUUACUUGCUUUCCCUCCACAUGUCCUCUGUGCGGGGCAGAAUGUUCAGAAUGUUGAGUUUUGGGGGAAUAGGGAAUGCCUCUAUUGAAGGUCAGGAAAGAAUGAUUUUUCUUCAUCUUUCUUAUUUGGAGACAAGAGCAGAGAUAGGGACAGCAGUCUGUGGGAGGCUGCAGCUUAAAGAACAGCUUCUGACC